UGUGUUUGUGUUUGUGUUUGUGUUUGUGUUUGUGUUCACCCUGCAGCCGCACCAGUCACAGAACCUGGCGUCACUUUGGUUUAAACGUUUACACCUGGAGCAGGACAACAUCCUGCCCUGUCCUGAGGGAACGGAGGAGGCAGUCUCUGCUCAGGUAAUGGAGGAACCACAGCUCCACACUGAGAACAGAACCGAGCGAAGGGGUCUGAAGGACGGAGACUGUGACACUGAGAACACCUGAGCAGACAAACAGAUACUGACGUGACAUCACUUAUCAGGAAGUGUUACCUGGACACAGCCACGGCUCUGACCGACACUCGCCCAGCAGGAAGCAGGAUGGGCUGCUUGUACCUGUGGCUGCAGCCGCCGCCGCCCUCCAU